AUUUAAAUAGCUUAUAAUUAAGAGUAUAAUAUUGAAGAUAUUAGGGAGAUUUAUUAAUCUUUAAAUA
rnacentral:tRNA from 1 species